rnacentral:snRNA from 1 species
UGAAGAAAAAAAUCGACCACUAA